AGACGACAGAGAAUCACUUGUUCUAAGUAUGAGUCCUUUAGGUGUGUUGGUCGUCCCGGAAAAGCCGGAGGUAUUGGACACGUGAAUCCUCUAGGUGUGCGUUAAAACAGCCCUGCAAUUUUAAAUUCCUGGAGACGGUGAGGCAUAUGUUUAUAGCCUCCUAUUGUUAGACAAGUGAACCGUCUAGGUGUGCGUUGGAACAUCACUGCAGAUUGAAAGUCCUGGAAUCGGUGAGUACUAUUUUUUUCAUUCACUUUCUCUCCUGGUGGUGAGUCGGUGAUUUCUCCAGGUGUGCGUGGGAACAGCUCUGCAAUUUCAAACUCCUGGAGGUAGGGGGCGAGGCGAUUGUGUCUUACGGACCGCACGGCUCCCGGAACGGGAGUUUGAUCGGGGGAUAGUGUAAGACGCGGGUACUGGGGUUACGGGAGUAUAAACCCACGCGCUGACGGACUUGGGGACUGGGAAGCUUCCACUGCGCUGACAUAAUAACGGACGCAACGGUACGAGGGGACAGAGACAGACACAGAGUUCCGGACAGAGCGACUGUGUGUGUGUGAGAGGGAGUCUGUUUAUGAGAAAGAUAGAGUCUCUGAGUGUGUAAAAAUCUCUGUGUGUGUGUGUGUGUGUGUGUAAGUAUUUCUGUGUUUGUAAAAGUCUGUGUGAGAAAAAAAGAGUUUCUAUGUGUGGAAGUCUGUGAAAAUGUCUGUAUUGUUGCCCAGAGAGAGAGAGAGAGAGAGAGAGAGAGACUUGCAAAAGGCUGCUCAACUAACAGGCAGUUUAACACUUUGUGUUCUGGCUUAAAUUCAUCUGCUUGUUAGUGAAUGAAUGUUUGAGCGUUAUCACCUAGAACUUGAGUCCCUGGAGUGCUUUUGAAUGUGAUUUUUUAUGAAUGCUUAACAUGAUUUUUUUCAGGUUGGAGAUUUUAUUGAGAUUCAGUGGAGAUAGAACAGACUAGUCGGUAACUGAUAUUGUUAUAACUGAUAUAAAAAAAAAUUCUGAGUGGGUCUGUGGAAUUAAGAACUGUGUGUCAUAUCCCAAGGAGAGAGAGAAUGCGAAUGCUGCUGAGCACUAGCAGACCGUGUCUGUGAGAGAGAUAGAUAGAGAGAGUAGGGCAGCACGUUUGAAGUAAACAUUUCGGGAGUACAGCCUGCAAAGACUUUAACCCUUCGUGAACUGAUUCAGAUGCAUCUGUUUGUUUGGUGAUUAUUUUCUUGGUUUUGUUUCUAGAGCCUGAGUUCCAGGACUGCUGUUUAAAGUGAUUUCUUUUUAUGUGAGCUUAACAUGAUUUUUUAAGGCUAAUAACUCCUGUUCUUUUAUGAGUCAUGACUCCCUAACUACUUUUCUUACUAACCUCUUUUAUUUCAUAAAAGCAAUUUAUGAAGGACAGUCGAAGUUUCGUUCGACAGUGGGUAGUUGUAAAAAACGAAAGUUUCCAUGGUUAUUAUCUGUGACCUUGGAUUCGACCAUUGUGCAUGCGUUAGAAGUUUUUAACUUGAAUUGACAAAUUGUUGUAAGACAGCUCUGAUUAUUUUUACGACCUAAAGUAUUGUAAUUGAGAAAUGAUUGGUCAGGAGUACAUAAGAAAACUAAUUUUGGAUCUAAAUUAGGGUACUAAAUCUGGACGAUUACAGUGGAUUUCAAAAUUGGGAACUGUAUGCAUUUUACAUUUUAAAUAUUAAACACUGAAUAAAUGGACGUAAAUAUAUAAAUAUGUUUACAAGUUAGGAACAGGCCUUAAAGUUAGUCAAGCAUGAAUUGAUAAAUUGGUGUUUGAGCAUAUGGGAAGAUAGGAACAUUGGGAAAUUUCUUAAAAGAAAGAAACAGGGAAGAACAUAACGACUUGUCCCCUUCGGGAAGUGCUGAUAGGGGACAAGGAGAUUGGGUUUGUGUGUGACCCCCUCACCAAUGGGGAGGUCGGAACAUUUAAAAGGAAAUGACGGUCCUGGUUGAGAAUCCGAUGGGAUUGUCAGAACAAGUUAAUUUAUUUUUGAGGCCCAAUCUGUAUUUGUGGGCUGAGUUAAUGUCUAUUUUGAAUAUACUAUUUACUGUGGGAGAAAGGAGACUUAUAUGGGGAUGCUGGAUAGGGAAAGAUACGGAAGAUAGAAGGGUGGAGUGGGAUAAAUCCAUUAAAUGAAUUGUUAGGAGGGGCACAGAAAGUGUUUGUAAAGAGAGAGGACGAGUGACAGGAGCAGUACGCGUAAAUGAUGGUAGCUGCGGUUGAUGAGGUAAUUAGGAGAAGAAUGCAGCCAAAAGUGAGCAACCGGAGCAGCGAGUGAUAGCAUGUAGGGCAGAGAAGAAAGGGAGUAGGGAGAGACAUGGAGGAGCAUUUGAUAGAGAGUUUGAGUGACAGGGGCAGAGACGAAGGUCUCCACAGGCAGGAUGCCACUAUUGUGGAAGGAUAGGGCAUUUUGGGCGGGAGUGUCCUGAUCUAAAAAGGGAAGAAAGAGCCAUUCCGCUUAUGAUUUUGAUAACGACAGGGAGGGGAACAACAACUGGCAUCAUUUCUGAGCAGUCAGGGGUUAAAAAACCGAGUCAUAGAUUGGCUGAAUAGCACAUUCGGUAGAUGGGGAACUGUGCUGGGACAGCUGGCCCUUGGUUUAUGCAUCUCUGUUGCUAUCUUUAUUACCUGUGGUUGUUGUUGUAUACCAUGUAUCAGGACGCUUGUGACGCGAACGAUCGACCAUGCCCUGACGGGAAAGGAUAACCCCCCACCCGCAUACCGGGCAGCGGUGCUGGAGGAGCCUGUGAUGGGGGCACCCCAUGGAAAGAUUACGGGAUCAGUAUCAGAGGGAAUGGAGGAGAUAUGCCUGAGAGAGAAGCGCGGGACAACUUAUGAUUUUACUUUAUAACUGUAUCUCUCAUUUCUAAUCCUUCCCAUAUUAGGGCCUCAGAAUGUGAGGGCUGAGGUGCAGAGACCCCCUAGUUGUGUAUUUUUUUUUUCUUUCCCAUUCAAAUUGACAACAGGUAAAUUUGUGUUUUUAUGCUGCAGUUAGAGAUAGUGAAGUGCUAUAUGCCUCGAGACUCAAGAGACUAUUGUUCACUCAAGAGAUUCCUAGCCAUCAUCUGGUAUUCCUAAAUGGCUUCGAUUUGUCUCGAUGGCCACUGUUCACAAUGAUAAGCCAGUUACCACUGCCCGUGUCCGUACUUGACAGCUGUAAAAUGGAUGUGGGUUUUUAUUGGUCAAGUGAAGGUGACUGGUUAGCCAAUGACGGGUAAGAUUCCUCGAGCGAGGGACAACCUAAGACAGGCACAGUCGUGCAUUGACCUUCAGAAUAGUGGCCUGUGGUCAUGUGGUUUUAACAGAUGCCUGGCUUUUAUAUCCGUGUCGGGAAUUUGGUCAAGUUUCAGGCUUGCAAAGCAGCUUGAUAUAAGGAAAAUCGUGGACCCAGCAGUUUGACAUUGUAUUCACUGUAUUUUUGACAAAGGAAAAUGCCAGUUUUGUGGCAUCUUCCAGAACCGACUUAACAACAAACCUUUGGGAAGGAAGGAGAGCUCAUUGAAUCCUAUUACAAAAAAGAUUUGACACUAUGUCAGUAGUUUGAUGUCAUGGUAUAAUACGACCGAUUUUACUGGGAGGUUGUACAAUUGGGUGUUCUUUGGACAGCAGACCUUCAUUCUGCAGGCGUCCUAACUCAUCCACUUUGUGUUUUCCUCUGGUUCUCUUCGCUUUUGUUAUCAUACUCAGUAAUCGUUUUGUUGGUUUUGAGAUAGCUUUUUGUAGACGCUACGACUUUUGAGUGCUUAUGUCUGUUAUGUAUUAUUUCACUGCUUCUCGCGCCUUAACGGUUGUAUGCGAGCUGGAGAGGCGCAUAGAGUAGGGAUUUUGCGGCGCGGAAUGCUUUGUGUACUUGUAUGCUGCUUAGGGAUUCCUUUCCCUUACAACUGUGUCUCCAUAGAGUCAGACAAGCCGGCUAACACCAAGUGGUCGGUCUUGCAAAUGAGUGAUGGAGGGGCACUCACCGACCCGCCAGGCCCUGACUGCUGCGCGCGUUUGCUGUAUUUGUGGCCUCUCUGAGGCCAAGAGGGGAAAUGUUAGGUAGGAUUAACACUCAGGCAAAUGUGAGAUGGAUGUAACACUAAAAUGUUAGAUAGAAAUAGCUCUCAGGCUGAGGUGGCCAGGAGGCCCCAGAGGGGGAAACAGACACGAGGUCUGAGGGAGAUAACUGAACCAGUGGAAAAGUACUGAAAGAGCAGUAAAACUUGGAAAAACAGAACAAAGGGGGCCAUCUGGUACAUAACAAGUUGAGCUAACUGAUAGCCAAAUAAGGCAUGCUCAAACACUGAUAAGAGACUGGGGCCAAUGACAAACUGUAGAACUGACCAUUACCAAAUAAGGGAACGGUGCAGGAAUAAGGGGGGUAUAAGAAUAAACAUCUUAGAACAAAGGGGUCAGAACGCCUUCUCCAGCCAGACAGAUAUCUUGCUGUAACCCGAUUCUCUCUCGAAUAAAGCAGUCUGUUUCUUAGAA